rnacentral:rRNA from 1 species
AUGAACGCUGGCGGCGUGCCUAAUACAUGCAAGUCGAGCGAGCGGACGAGAAGCUUGCUUCUCUGAUGUUAGCGGCGGACGGGUGAGUAACACGUGGAUAACCUACCUAUAAGACUGGGAUAACUUCGGGAAACCGGAGCUAAUACCGGAUGAUAUUUUGAACCGCAUGGUUCAAAAGUGAAAGACGGUCUUGCUGUCACUUAUAGAUGGAUCCGCGCUGCAUUAGCUAGUUGGUAAGGUAACGGCUUACCAAGGCAACGAUGCAUAGCCGACCUGAGAGGGUGAUCGGCCACACUGGAACUGAGACACGGUCCAGACUCCUACGGGAGGCAGCAGUAGGGAAUCUUCCGCAAUGGGCGAAAGCCUGACGGAGCAACGCCGCGUGAGUGAUGAAGGUCUUCGGAUCGUAAAACUCUGUUAUUAGGGAAGAACAUAUGUGUAAGUAACUGUGCACAUCUUGACGGUACCUAAUCAGAAAGCCACGGCUAACUACGUG